ACAGCAUCGUAAACACCACCUUAGCAGGCCCAAUGUUGUAGCAAUUUUUGUAUCACACUCUAACAACCUGCCUUGCCACAUGACUCAACCCUGUUGCCUCAAGCGGUGAGACAUCUCAGCCGUGAAACCAUGCAGGUUGAGGUGACAAAUGUGUCACGUGCUUCAUGCUCCUUGCCACGGCAGACUUCGUUUCUGCAUCUGAUUUGGUUAGCUUUGACUUAAUUCAAAGGCAAAACUAUCAUUUACCCUGAAACUGUCACUUUUGGGAAAAACUGUGGUUGGGGUAUCUCACUAGUUGAUGCUCCCUGACUCAGAGUGACAGUUACAAGUUCUCCGCCACUCUCUCUUGCCUUUACAGCCUUGUAAGCAUGCAGCCAAUAUCUCCCUGUAUGUCACCAGGUGUACUUGGAGACUUUUUGACUCUUUGGAAAGGUUCCUAAAAUGUAGUUCACCGUGUGAUAAUGUUUGCAGUUCGAUAGUUUUCAAAGUGAAUAAAUAUAGCUCAACUUCAGUGAACUCAAAGACAUCGCUACAUAUCCCAGAAGAGUUGAAGAUGGAGGUCAUAUUGAGUUGGUAAUUGGAAAGCUCCAUGUACAUGAGCUUGAGUAUAUGACUUCCAUAAUGACUCCCUGAAAUUCCAACCAUAUGAAUGGUUGAUUUAAUUACAUGAUUAUGUGCGAUGGUGUGUAAAAGCAGGAGGUGUCACCACGUCAGGGUGAAUUACACUUGAAUAAGUCUGACUUGAAGUAGGAUUAACGGAUGACUGACAGGUGCUACAUACAGGGAGGAAAAGGAGAAUGAGGAGAGGAGGAAGAGAUUGAUGAAGAGAAGGAGGAGGAGAGGGAGGAUGAAGAGGAGGAAGUGGAGAAGGAGGAUUUAGAGGAGAGGUCGAAGGUGAGGAGGAUGAAGAGGAGGAAGAGGAGAUGAGGAAGAGAAGGAUGAAGAGGAGGGGAGGAUGAAGUGAAGGAGGAAGAAGAGGUGAGGAGGAUGAAGGGGAGAAGGAGGAAGAAAAGGAGGAUGAAGAGGAGGAGGAAGAAGAGGAGGAGGAAGAAGAGAAGGAGGAUGAAGAGGAGAAGGAGGAUGAAGAAGAGGAGAAGGAGGAUGAAGAAGAGGAGAAGGAGGAUGAAGAAGAGGAGAAGGAGGAUGAAGAAGAGGAGAAGAAGGAUGAAGAAGAGGAGAAGGAGGAUGAAGAAGAGGAGAAGGAGGAUGAAGAAGAGGAGAAGGAGGAUGAAGAGGAGGACAAAUAGGAGGUUGAAGAGGUGAGGAGGAUGAAGAGGAGGAGGAUGAAGAGGAGGACUAAAAAGUACCCCAGGAGUGACAGUGCUCAUAGUUAUCUAUUUAUAAAGAGCGGGACUGUAGCGGUAAACAUGGCAGGCGUCUGCUCUGCAACCACAGCGACUUUCUAUGGUGAUCCAAACACACUGAACUGGACACACACACACACACACACACACCAAACAUCAUCCCCAGCACGGCAACAUUCCCCACAGCACAGAGAAUGAUUGUGGCCUACACGUUCCACAGUGAUUAGGAUGAGCCCCACAAAGAGUCCCAGGGUGCCUUGCGCUCCACCUUAACAGGCUAUAGCUUAACAUGCCUCUGACAAGCAGGCACCUUCGUAACAAAGUCCUCGCAUCUGAUUUUAGCAGCAGUGAACUUGUGGCCAAAAGCCAAGACGUGAGCCGCGCCGGAGCUGCUAGUAGCAGCCAGUACUAAAUAUGAGAAGUAAGCAAAUGAUUAAGUUGAGUAUAGU
rnacentral:lncRNA from 1 species